rnacentral:rRNA from 1 species
GCUCAACCGAGGAAGUGCUUCGAAAACUGGUAAACUUGAGUGCAGAAGAGGAAAGUGGAACUCCAUGUGUAGCGGUGGAAUGCGUAGAUAUAUGGAAGAACACCAGUGGCGAAGGCGGCUUUCUGGUCUGUAACUGACGCUGAGAUUCGAAAGCAUGGGUAGCAAACAGGAUUAGAUACCCUGGUAGUCCAUGCCGUAAACGAUGAGUGCUAAGUGUUGGAGGGUUUCCGCCCUUCAGUGCUGCAGCUAACGCAUUAAGCACUCCGCCUGGGGAGUACGAUCGCAAGAUUGAAACUCAAAGGAAUUGACGGGGGCCCGCACAAGCGGUGGAGCAUGUGGUUUAAUUCGAAGCAACGCGAAGAACCUUACCAGGUCUUGACAUACCAUGAAAAGCUUAGAGAUAAGUCUUUCCCUUCGGGGACAUGGAUACAGGUGGUGCAUGGUUGUCGUCAGCUCGUGUCGUGAGAUGUUGGGUUAAGUCCCGCAACGAGCGCAACCCUUAUUAUCAGUUGCCAGCAUUCAGUUGGGCACUCUGGUGAGACUGCCGGUGAUAACCGGAGGAAGGUGGGGACGACGUCAAAUCAUCAUGCCCCUUAUGACCUGGGCUACACACGUGCUACAAUGGUCGGUACAACG